AACACGCUCCUUAGAUCCACCUCUGGGGAGUUUCCCCGGUCCGGUUCUGCUCUCUCUCUCUCUGGGAUCAGCAGGAUCGGGCCGGCGGCUCCCGGCAGCUUUACCGCUGCACAGUUGGAGGUGCUUGAGUCAUUGGCGUGUGAGAUCAGUCUACCUGCUUACCCAGCAUCCUCUCUGCCCUGAACCUACUCAGGAAAACACCAGGGCAGAACCGCUGGAGAGCAGACAAA